UACGUAGGGUGCGAGCGUUGUCCGGAAUUAUUGGGCGUAAAGAGCUUGUAGGCGGUCUGUCGCGUCUGCUGUGAAAAUCCGGGGCUCAACCCCGGACUUGCAGUGGGUACGGGCAGACUAGAGUGUGGUAGGGGAGACUGGAAUUCCUGGUGUGGCGGUGAAAUGCGCAGAUAUCAGGAGGAACACCGAUGGCGAAGGCAGGUCUCUGGGCCACUACUGACGCUGAGAAGCGAAAGCAUGGGGAGCGAACAGG
rnacentral:rRNA from 1 species